rnacentral:rRNA from 1 species
GUCAAGUCAUCAUGGCCCUUAUGUCCAGGGCUACACACGUGCUACAAUGGACGGUACAAAGCGGAGCGAAGCCGCGAGGCGCAAGCAAAUCGCGGAAAACCGUCCGUAGUUCGGAUUGAAGUCUGAAACCCGACUUCAUGAAGUCGGAAUCGCUAGUAAUCACAGAUCAGCAUGCUGUGGUGAAUACGUUCCCGGGCCUU